GGAUGGAUAGCUCAGUGGUUUGAGCAUUGGGCUGCUAAACCUAAGGUUGUGAGCUCAAUCCU
rnacentral:tRNA from 1 species